CAGGCCUAACACAUGCAAGUCGAGCGGCAGCGGGAAAGUAGCUUGCUACUUUUGCCGGCGAGCGGCGGACGGGUGAGUAAUGCCUGGGAAAUUGCCCAGUCGAGGGGGAUAACAGUUGGAAACGACUGCUAAUACCGCAUACGCCCUACGGGGGAAAGCAGGGGACCUUCGGGCCUUGCGCGAUUGGAUAUGCCCAGGUGGGAUUAGCUAGUUGGUGAGGUAAUGGCUCACCAAGGCGACGAUCCCUAGCUGGUCUGAGAGGAUGAUCAGCCACACUGGAACUGAGACACGGUCCAGACUCCUACGGGAGGCAGCAGUGGGGAAUAUUGCACAAUGGGGGAAACCCUGAUGCAGCCAUGCCGCGUGUGUGAAGAAGGCCUUCGGGUUGUAAAGCACUUUCAGCGAGGAGGAAAGGUCAGUAGCUAAUAUCUGCUGACUGUGACGUUACUCGCAGAAGAAGCACCGGCUAACUCCGUGCCAGCA
rnacentral:rRNA from 1 species